rnacentral:rRNA from 1 species
UACGAAGGGGGCUAGCGUUGCUCGGAAUCACUGGGCGUAAAGCGCACGCAGGCGGUCGAUUAAGUUUGGAGUGACAGUUGGUAGCUUAACUGCCAAAGUGCUUUGAAAACUGAUCGACUUGAGGGGCUUCAGAGGGACACGGAAUUCCGGGUGGAGUGGUGAAAUGCGUAGAGAUCCGGAGGAACACCAAAGGCGAAGGCAGUGUCCUGGGGAGUACCUGACGCUCAGGUGCGAAAGCCAGGGGAGCGAACAGG